UUCCCAAGAUCCCCAUUGUUAGCGAGAGAGAGAGAGAGAGAGAGACGGUGAAGUUUUCAAAAUGUGACGUAGGUCCGAUAGGCUCGUCCGGAAGGACCAAGACAAAACAUGGAUCAAUCAUGCAGUCAUGAGCGGUCUUGUUUGGCAUGGAACACUCACGUGAACCCCAGCUUCGCUUCGUCAUUUGACCGACCCAAAGACCCAUCAAACCAUAACGUAUGAAGCUCAUGUCCUCACCUCGCUCCCCUGUAUCAUGUGAUGAUAUACUCUCCUCCGCAAAUCCAUGUGCUCUCUCAUUUAUCCAUCUCUCUUUCUUUCUUCCCAUCUCUCACCUGUGUAGCCCUCUAGAUGAUGAAACCUUCACUUCUCCUCUCCCUCUGUCUCCUUAUUACUACUGCCUUCUAUCUCUGCUCCUCUUCGAGCUCACCGGCUGAUUCCUUGGUUUUACACGACACGGGACGACGAGCCACGAUGACAAGAGAUCUAAACAUGCCCUUUGUCAACAGAAAGCUCAAAAGCCACAGCGUCAAGGUUCUUGAUGACAAAAGGGAAAGAUCAAAUGUUCGACAGGGUAGCACUGAACUUCAGACUUUGAGCAACGAUAACAGCACGGAUGACCUUGUGUAUCACAUCGACUACCAUGGAGUAACAACUCAUCCAACUCCAACUCCAAAACACCCCUAAAACACAGCAAACGCCGGCCGUUCAGCUUGUCCAACUUUUUUUAUGUAUCCUCUCCAAUACAAAAAAUCAUGAUGUAUUAGUCACUUGUAUCAUUAGCAACAUUCUUCAUGCAUCUUUUCCUUACAUUUCGCUUCCAUAAAGGACAUAGUUGUCAUGGUAAUCCGCAAAGAGGAGAUGAAUCAUGUUUAAUUAAUCUAAAAGAAAAUUCAGCUUU